GUGCUCACUUUGGCAGCACAUAUAGUAAAAUUGGAAUUAGCCUGGUCCCUGCGUAAGGAUGACACGCAAAUUUGUGAAGCAUUCCAUAUUUAA
ensembl:snRNA U6 U6 spliceosomal RNA